rnacentral:rRNA from 1 species
UAAUUAAUUGGGGGUCGACUAGCAUGCGAGUCACGGGGGUGUCCCUUUGGGGCACCACCGGCGGACGGCUCAGUAACACGUCGGUAACCUACCCUCGGGAGGGGGAUAACCCCGGGAAACUGGGGCUAAUUCCCCAUAGGCCUGAGGUACUGGAAGGUCCUCAGGCCGAAAGGGACUUAUGUCCGCCCGAGGAUGGGCCGGCGGCCGAUUAGGUAGUUGGUGGGGUAAUGGCCCACCAAGCCGAAGAUCGGUACGGGCUGUGAGAGCAGGAGCCCGGAGAUGGACACUGAGACACGGGUCCAGGCCCUACGGGGCGCAGCAGGCGCGAAACCUCCGCAAUGCGGGAAACCGCGACGGGGGGACCCCGAGUGCCGUGGCAACGCCACGGCUUUUCCGGAGUGUAAAAAGCUCCGGGAAUAAGGGCUGGGCAAGGCCGGUGGCAGCCGCCGCGGUAAUACCGGCGGCCCGAGUGGUGGCCGCUAUUAUUGGGCCUAAAGCGUCCGUAGCCGGGCCCGUAAGUCCCUGGCGAAAUCCCACGGCUCAACCGUGGGGCUUGCUGGGGAUACUGCGGGUCUUGGGACCGGGAGAGGCGGGGGGUACCCCUGGGGUAGGGGUGCAAUCCUAUAAUCCCAGGGGGACCGCCAGUGGCGAAGGCGCCCCGCUGGAACGGGUCCGACGGUGAGGGACGAAGGCCAGGGGAGCAAACCGGAUUAGAUACCCGGGUAGUCCUGGCUGUAAAGGAUGCGGGCUAGGUGUCGGGUGAGCCUCGAGCUCGCCCGGUGCCGUAGGGAAGCCGUUAA